rnacentral:ncRNA from 1 species
ACCAUCCUUUUCUUGGGGUUGUGCUACUGUCCAAUGAGCGCACAGUGAGGGCAGUAUGCUAAUGCCUACACAACAUACCUGCAUCAACUAGAGCUUUGCUUUACCUUGGGGCAAUUUGGGAAAAA